rnacentral:rRNA from 1 species
AGGACGAACGCUGGCGGCGUGCUUAACACAUGCAAGUGGUGCGACGAACCAGGCUUCGGCCUGGGGCAGAGCCGCGAACGGGUGAGUAACACGUGGGCAACCUGCCCUUAGCUCUGGGAUAGCUCCGGGAAACCGGAAUUAAUACCGGAUAUGACCUAGGCCGACAUCGGCCGUGGUGGAAAGUUUUCGGCUAGGGAUGGACUCGCGGCCUAUCAGCUAGUUGGUGGGGUAAUGGCCUACCAAGGCGACGACGGGUA